rnacentral:rRNA from 1 species
AUUGAACGCUGGCGGCAGGCCUAACACAUGCAAGUCGAGCGGCAGCGGAAAGUAGCUUGCUACUUUGCCGGCGAGCGGCGGACGGGUGAGUAAUGUCUGGGAAACUGCCUGAUGGAGGGGGAUAACUACUGGAAACGGUAGCUAAUACCGCAUAACCUCGAAAGAGCAAAGUGGGGGAUCUUCGGACCUCACGCCAUCGGAUGUGCCCAGAUGGGAUUAGCUAGUAGGUGAGGUAAUGGCUCACCUAGGCGACGAUCCCUAGCUGGUCUGAGAGGAUGACCAGCCACACUGGAACUGAGACACGGUCCAGACUCCUACGGGAGGCAGCAGUGGGGAAUAUUGCACAAUGGGCGCAAGCCUGAUGCAGCCAUGCCGCGUGUGUGAAGAAGGCCUUAGGGUUGUAAAGCACUUUCAGCGAGGAGGAGGCAUCAUACUUAAUACGUGUGGUGAGUUGACGUUACUCGCAGAAGAAGCACCGGU